GGGAGGGGGAGGGGGAGGGGGGCUCGACUGGGGGCCUGCCUGCAAUUGACACUCAGAAAUGCAUCUUGCCUUUCCCCUCCAAGUCUCCCAGGGCUCCUAUGAUUCCCAAGUACCAAGUCCUCAGUGUGAUGUUCAAGGACAGACACUGAGCUUCCCACUACUGCAUAUCAGGCACUGGCAUGGAUUAAUUUACUUAAUCACAACAACCCAGUAAGGUGGAUAGUAUGACAUCCCAUUUUUAUAGUUGGGGACAAUGAGGCAUGGAGAGGUUUAGUAACUCCUCCAACAUCGCACAGCUGGGAAGGGGCAAAGCUAGGAUUUGAACCUGGGCCAUCUAGCUGGAGGGUCUCCUUGAUUAAUCAUCAUGCUGUACUGCCUCUGGAAGUGAGGACCUCCCUGAGGCGGUGACUUUUGAAGUGGUAGCUUAGAACAGUUCAGGCAGAAUAAUAACUCCUACAUCACAGGGUGGGUGUGAACACCCAGUGAGGGCUUAGGGUGGUGCUCAGCACUCAGCAAGAUGCUCAGAAAAUAUGAGCUUAAAAAGGGAUUAAGGAAGAUUUUACAGAGGCAAUGCUGAGUAGGGUUUUGAAGGGUAUGUAGGAGUCUUCCAGGAGAACUGGGUUAGGGGAAAGAUACCAGAAGGCCCAGCAAGGACAAAAGAAGAGAAAGGCAUAUACUGUGGCCUUUCUGGCUGACUGUGAUCCAUGGCAAGUUGCCCUUCACCUGGAAGUUUUUCCAGACAGACCUCCCCCAGGUUUCUCCAGCUGUGCCAGCCCUGACUACACUGGAAGGGCAGGGGGUGUGGAUGUGAGACCCAGAACUGAGUUCUUUCCUGUUUCCAGCCUUACCUAGUACAGGCCUGGGACCCCAUUCAGCUACCAUUUAUUAAAUAGAUAUGCUCUGCCUCUCCUGCUCACAUUCUAUGUCUCCCAUUUACUUGGGGAGCCAGUUCCCCGGCUUGGCUUGCCCGGCCUUGCUAACCUCCUGCUGCUUCCUUUUGGGCCCUGCCUCCAGCCACCCUGCCUCGACCCGCAAAGAGCACCUGGUUGCAGACUUCCAAGUUUUUGCACACGCUGUUUCCUGCCAGGGAUGUCCUUCCUUUAGGGCCCAAUGUUAAGAUCUUUUUUUCUUUUAGGCUCGUCUCAGACCUCACUGACUCCUGUGGGAUCUUCUAGGUCCUUCUCACUGCCCAUCCUAACCCCUGGGGCUGGGAUCAUCUUUCACCCAGCUUUGGCUCCUAUCAUAAAUAAGAGGCCUAUGUUCAGGGCUGAGGCCUCUCUGGGGUGUCAGAGAGGGCAUGAGAGUGUCAGGACCUGGGAGCUGGUCUCAGUGCAGCCCUCUGUCCCCCCUACUCUAAGCAACCCUCUUCUGGCCCGCCUACCCCUGGACCCUGACUACUCCGUGCCUUGCUAUUGCUCACCUCCGGUCACCCUCCAACGUGUGUUUGCCUGCUAAUGAGAAGUGUGACAAGUGCUGCCGUUCGCUGAGCGGCUGCCCUGGGGCUGGAGACCAGGAGGGGCUGGAGUGCUCUGGGCUGGCUCUCAGGAAACCUUCACCACACACCCCACUCCCAGGCGCUUCCUCAGAAAAGACCUUGGAAUAUACAUUUCACUGGUCCAGGACCCCAGAGCCAGAGACCUUGCAGCUGGCUGCACCCGAAAACACAGUGACAAUUGGAACCUGGAGGCCAGGGAGAGACUCGGGGCUUCAGUCGCAUGGGUCCCUCCCGAACUCAGACUCACAGAAGCACUGUAAUGACCAGGACCCUCCAAAGAGGCAUCACAGCAACACUAAGAACCCCUGGGAGACCAGCUCUUCCAAAACCAAAGUCCACCGUGAUGAUUCCCGAAUCCCAGAAGCUUCUGAGAUGUGAACUGGAGUCACUCAGGUGUCAGCUACAGGCCCAGACCAAGGCUUUCGAGUUCCUAAACCACUCAGUGACCGUGUUGAAGGACAGAUGCCUGCAGCAAAUCAAGAGCCAACAGCUUGAAGAGGUGCUGGGCCCCACGAGCCACCAGGCAGACAAGGAGAGACACAAGUGGGACGUGGAGGAGGGACGGCAGGAGCUAUAUGAGGCCCUGGCUAAAGGCCUGCAGGGGCUGCAGAAGACCCUGUAUGACAACGAGGAAGUGCAGAGGGCCCGUACCACCCGCUGUCUACAGCUGUUGGCGCAGGAGAUCCGGGACAGCUCUGGCCCACCUGAGUCCCCUCCCCCUACAGAGGCGCAGGAAGAGGAGAUUACGGAGAACCUGGUGAACAUCCAGAAGAUGCAAAAGACACAGGUGAAGCGCCGCAAGGUCCUGACCAAAAUGAAGCAGCAUGGGUAUGAGACAUCCACCUGGCCAGAGACUGAGGAGUUGCCACCAGGAGGCAGUGGCUCAUGGAGGGAUGACCUCCAGAAGGAGCUGGGUGACAUAUGGACUCAUCUCCGCCCCUGCCCCCACCAUGGCCUCCCUGCCCCAGCUUUGAGCAGUCCAGAGUCGCCCCCCGGGGCCCCCAGAUCCCCAUCUCCCCACAGGCCCGCUGUGCACCUGCUGCAGAACUCCUUUGGUGGCCUCGCCAUAUACUCAGGGGGCCGCCCCAGGGCUGCGAGCCUCACGGAAUUGCACCUGUCCCUCCUGCUGGCUACAAGGGGCACCGAUGCCUGAGCCCGCCACGCCCCUCCUGGGACUCGGACUCGGACUCAGACCAGGACCCUUCCCAGCCACCACUCAGCAAGAGCUGCUCCUUCCCACCUGCCUGAGCAGCUGGGACUGCUCUCCCUGAAGACCCCUCCAGAGAGAAAAUAAACUAGCUGAGACCCUCCUCCACCUGUGGACUGCUGCUCCUGGCUGCUUCCUGUGCCUCAGAGUGACCCCCACAGUUUACUACCCAGUCUUGGGGAGGGUGUGGAGACCCCAGGGACUGUUCGGGAUAUGUGGGCCUAGGGUCAGGGGACAGUGUGAGGCUGGAUUUAGUAUAUGACAAGGUCAGGGGUAAGUCUGUCUAGAUACGAGUGGCCAGAUAGGCCCUUGGCGAUCUGGCCUGAUGUCCCUACUGCCCAAAUGGGGAAAUUGAGGCCCCUGGCCCUCAUCUGCCCUGCGUUCCUCCUAACAAGAUCAAGCAGCGACCACCAGAACCUGGAACCCACCUGAGUCCCUCUCCUCCCAGGACUCAUCUCCGCCCCUGCCCCCACCAUGGCCUCCCUGCCCCAGCUCUGAGCAGUCCAGAGUCCCCCGGGACCCCAAGAUCCCCAUCUCCCCCCA